rnacentral:lncRNA from 1 species
CUCUACUCUCUGUUCGGUGAAACUUUGAGGUCGCCCAGCAUGGCCAGGGUCUCAAACCGUCUAAUUCAAUCUGCUCUAAUGGAGUCAAGCUGACAGUAAAGAGAAGAUCAGAAACAGCGAGUCUAAUCUGCCUAUAUGGGAGAAAAUUCAGCAAACAGGAACCAGCUCAGAGACCAAGAAAACCAAACAAGGUUAUUAACCCACAUCAGAACACCAGAGAGAUAACAAGAAGUUGGUUCCAAGAUGAAAAAUGCAAGAGAGAAGCAGAUUGUGGAAUAAAAGAGAGGAUGUUCCAUGUUCAUAUACACCUGAUUGUAGUUAGAGCCUCACCCUUCCUUUCUAUCUCAGCAGGGACCUUCUGGAAAAGCUUUUCAUUCUGUGCACUUUUCUUUCUCUGGCUUUCUUUGUCUCUAGAUUUUCUUUGUUCUGUGCCUGAUCUGUCAUAAUCCUCUGAGGUUUUAUUCUCAUUCCUCUGCAUCCCCCCCUGAAAAAAAUCUUAUUUUCUUACAAUUUCAGGUAUCCCAUAAUACUAAUUAUGGCUAAGCACCUCUUUGUUUCUAUGUGGAUCUUUUCUUGAAUCCUUGUUUCAUACCAUUAACUGCAUACAAAAUAUCUCUAUUUAGAAAUGAUAUUGCAAUUUCAAACUCAACUGUAUGAAAGUAUUUUUAUUGGUAUCUUAAAAACACAUUUCCACUGAUAAUACCAAUAUUUGAGUACUCCUCACCUUGUGUUCAGAUUACUGCAAUGCAUUCCUAUCAGGUAAUUCUUCCUUCAAUCUCCUGCACCUCAAAUCCAACUUAUUAAUAUCUUCAAAUUUAAAAGAAUUAAAUUCCAUUUUUAGCAUAUUAUCCCUCUGAUUGAAAGGAAAAAAUCUUAAUUUUUUUGUUACAAUAAAAUUUCUUAACUUAAAAUCAGCUGAGAACUCUUGCUGUGUUUGAGGUUACAAAAGUGCUUAACUAGAGACUGUAACAACACUAUUCAGCCAACAACAGGGGUUAUUUUUAGAAUCCUACUUACCAUUAGAAUUCUAAAUUUGAACCUGGACUUGCAGGUUACUAUGAGGACAUAUUUGUCAAUGUUGGAGAAUGCAACAUAUUAUAUUUAACAAUUUGUUUUCCUAGUUUGUUAUUUCAUGUAUGUAGGUAUAAUAUGCAAUUGUACUCCUGCCCCACCCUUGAAAAUCUAGUGGAUGAGCCUAGAAAGAAACCUGAGGAAUCUGAUAAGACAUGAGCAGAGGCAGAAACUUCAGCAAUUGUGGUGGCAACAGCCACAAGGGAGUGUAUGAGGUAAAGUUUGAAGAUCUACUAAUACAUUUAAGUUAGAAGAUUGAGGAAUAAAGUCUAUAUUCAUUAACCCAUCAUUACUAACCCUUCAUACAGUUCAUCAAACAUUCUUCGCUCGUGCUUUUAAAAUGGAAUACCAUGCUCUGCCUCCCCUUUCCCACUUCACCCCACCUGCACCUCACAUACCCUGACUGCUUUGAAUCUUUCUGCAAACACUGAGUACUCAACCUUCUAUAAACUCCUACUCUACUCCCUAUACUACAUUUUUCUCCUAACUCCUAAGGCACAUUUUUGUCUAUCUUGGUCAUUUGGAAAUUAGCAUUCCCAAUUUUAUUCAGCCUUGUAAACUUCUUAAUGUUAUAAACACCAUAUACAAAAGCUCUUCUAGAUUGUGAUCUUGUUGAGUUAAAGUACCAUGGCUUACUGAUCUCUCUUAGUGAAGAGGGAAUGUACCGAACCAUGUUAAAUACCCAGAUGAAGUGAGUUAAAGUUAUUUUCCCAAUGUUUGUUUCUUACGGGUGUUCCCUGAAAAAGGAUUUAGCGUUAAAAUAAGUUUGGGCAGUUUUUACAAAGUUAAGCAUGUUUCUUUACUUCAAUGCUUAUCAGAGCCUUUAAUAUACUAUUAAAUAUGAUUAAUAUCUAAAAACAAAUAAUAGUGAAGAGUUGACCAUAUUUAUUGACCUUUUUUUCAAGAAUAUCUUACACAGCUAGUGUUACAUAAUAGAUACUUUUGAAAAGCCUGGCUUAAAAGCUAGUCCUCAAUCAACUAUCUACAUAUGUAUUAUUCAUAUGUAGUAUAUAAUACCAAAUUUUCGUAUGUAUUCAAAAGGCUACUUUUUACUUUGACAUCCCCAUUCCAACUCUGGGAAAUUGUUCAGACUCUACAAAACUAUCUGAUACGCACAUUUCCUGCUCACUCAGUCUUUAGAGAUAAAAAUUCAGGUCUCUUUUACAAAAUAUAGUGAUGGACUGAUCUCCAUGUCCAUUGAUAAAAGAUCCAGAGUGAAUAGCUUUAUAUCAAAACAUGAAAUAUUACGAUUCUAGUUAUUAACUGGAAUGUGUUAAGGAGGCAGAUGAGAGAUAGAAUCUUUCGCUCUGAAGAGCAUCUGAUUUUUCAUGGCUAAAAAUGGUUUUGACAUCUGUGAGGUGGACCUUAUCAGGAUUUCUUGGGUUGUAAGCAUCCUGUGGACAGACACAACGGCUUUCUUAGUUUUAUAAAGUAUCUUAAGAGAACAUCAGCUAAGAAUAUUGACAGUAACAAUGAACAGAAUGCUUUUUGCUCCCUCCCUCACAGAGAUGCUGUGAAAAUUAAUGACGGGCAGUCUGAUAAGUUUCUUGAGCUCCUUUGGGUAAGAUCAUAUAAAAUGUAAAGUAUUUUCACAUAAUGAUGUUUUUGUCUAAGUCUGUAAGCAUUUGUAAAUUAUAUGAUCUUAAAAUACAUGGUCAGUGAAGCAUUAACUUCUUUGAGAGGCA